GAGGAACAACAGAUAUUGAAAAAGUAUUCACACAUAUUCAAGUGAGGCAAUUCUGCCCGGCAACUCAAGUCACGACUUAUUAACACGUUCCUGUCGGUUCCCACAGGAGCCGGAGAGAGCCUCCACGCCCUUCACAAGUAUCUCUAGUAGAUUACGUGGGAGGAGGAAACGAGUUUGGCCGCAUCUGUUGGGAGAUUUGUCUCGAGGAGAGACGCUCGUCCCGUGAUGAAGAAGAGUAAACAUGUCUAACACUCUGUGGUGAAACAUGGAGCAGCAGCUGAGCUCUGACCUUCAGAGAACUAGCAUGCACCAUUUAUUAGAAUCAGUUACAUAUCAGUGACCUACUUCCAUUCACAUUAUGUUUAAAAGUAUAAAACUAGUGCAACUAAAGAGGGCGGAAAUAAAGAGUGAGUCAUAAUCAACCAAUUUCAUAUCGGAUGAGCGUAUGAAUGGAGUCAUUGUGACGCCCAUUUCCUGAACCGACGCCACAGAAACUAAAGUUAGUCAACCGCAUCCGACUAUUAUUUUAAUUGGCGCGAUGUCACACGUGAUGAUGCCAUGCGUCACGAUGUGAAGGCCGAUACGGGAUAUGAUAUAAUAUUCUGUCUGAUCCGUUUAUCCUGGAGCUUGUUGUCUUACGGUAAAUAAAUGGCUGAGCAGCCAAUUACUGCAGGGAGCAGCCCACGUGACCUCAGUGCCCACGUGACCCUUCAGGGGGCGAAGCAACACUUUCUAAAGUUUCCUUGUGGGCUUUUGUUUUGCUGGACUCCCCUCCCCCUUGAAGCAGCUCGUGAUGAGGGAGGGGGGAGCAGGGGAGCUGCCAACUACGGCGAUGCUAUUUUGAGAGCCGCUCCACCCACGUCUGUUCAACUGCGCAUUAAAAUGACGCAGGAUUAAAAAAAGAACGCAGACUGCGACACACACAAAAAAAAAAAACUUUAUACACCUCUCCCCCAUUUCCCCCCCCCCCUGAACCAGACAACUGCGGCGCACGGGAUGUGAGAAAUGGGCGUGGCCGGGACGCAACAUUGUCGCCCGCAGAACGCUACACUGUUGCAAUGGCGGCGGUGACGACACAUUUCCUGUUUGUCCUGAAACUCCGUCAGAGCCGAGGAAGGGGCCUAAAGCAGCGCACAGCCAACACAGGAGCCCCCCCCCCCAUAAGUUAAACCCCUAGACCCAUGUCGUGUGGCAUGUUGAGCGACAUGUUCACGUCGAGGCUCAAAUGGGCGAAUCAGUUGGGGAACCAGACUCUUCUGGUCCUGGACUCUCAGUUUACUGAUUAAAGUUUCAUGUUUAAACGUGACCAGGCCUCUCCCGAUUAUGUUAAAAUAAUAAUAAAGUUGAAGUCAAAGCCAGCUCGAGGCCUGCCGCAGGAAUGCAGCAGCAGCUUACGGCCCGAUGGCGCACACGGGCAGAAAUAGAAACGUAAAGACACGCGCGGCCUCCGGGAGCCACAUCAGCAUUCCCCAAAGAGCCGGGGCACAAGCACGCCCUGCUGACAGGCGCGCGCAUAUGGAAACGCUUAACCUCUCCUCAGCCUGCCAACGCAACGACCGUUAACUUAUAACACUUUUUUUUAAAUUAGGUGUUUAAAAAGUGCUGGAUUAGUAGUGAAACGUGGCCCCCGCCGCAGGUCGAGGCCCCUCGAGGAGAAACCAGAGGGCGCAAACAAAUUUAAGCUUUGUUUUUUUGGAGGGAAAGUACGCAGAGGCAACAGGAGGACGACGAAUCCUGCGACACACUGCGGUUCUCACGGAAUCGUGCGCGCGCGGCUUUCUUUUCGUGCGCGAACCCAGGACGCAGGCGGAAGAGGAGGAGCCGCCAACAGCUGUCGCUUCCGGUUGGACCCUUUCAGAGUAAAAGGAACGCUGACGUUGAAGAGGGAGAAGAAUUUCGUUUUUACUUACUUUUAAAAGCAUUUGACGAACCCAGAGCUGAUCCAGGAGCCCUCAGAGGCCCGAGCCCAUCGCACCGGGCCCUCGCCUCUCAACGUGAACGUCCUCGUAAUCCUCAAACAGACCCCUGAGUCCUCCUGCAGCCCUCAUCCCCUCAACCGCUCUCUCCUCUUCAAACACUCCCCACAGCAUCUAUUUUUUGGGGAGAUGAGUCGGAUAACGGAGCUCCACGGAUUACUUUUCUUUUCCAUCUCCCAGGUGAAGCUGUUUCUUUUCUCUCCUCCUGGCACUCUGGCAGCUUUUUUGAAUUUCGAGCUAUUCUUGAAUGUGACGAGGACACUUUGUGCUGCAGAAAAAACAAAGGUCUCCAUCUUGAGUUAUUUGGUGAGGCCGUGCAUUUGUAAGAACAAAUAAAGACACUCUAGGUCAUACAGAUUUCAUAUAUUCCACCGCUGCAAUAUAAUCACGAUA